CUGCAUCCAGCACCGCGGCCGCGCGACUGGUCGCUCCGCCGCCGCCUCCCGGGUGCUGUCGCCCGCCCAGCGGAGCAGGGGAAGCGCUGAGCCCACGCUGGCCCCGCUCCUCUCCGUUGCCGGGUCCGCUCCCACGGGCUCGGCCCCCAGACCCUCAGUGGCACCCACCCUGUGCGGCCCUCGUGUGGCCCCAGCCCCGCUCCCCGUCCCCGUUCCACAGACGCUGGGGCGCAGGGGCGGCUCCGCCCUGCCCUUCACCCGCACGGUAGAGGGGUCACGGCUCACCGCAGCCUCCGCCUCCGGGCUCCAGCGGUCCUCGCAGGCGCGCCCCACCACGCUCAGCUAAUUUUUUCUUAUUUUUUAUAGAGAUGCGGUCUCCUGAAAAGUAGCCACUCUUUUUUGUUUUGUUUUGUUUUGUUUGGGGGGCGGGGGACAGAGUCUUGCUCUUUCGCCAGGCUGGAGUGCAGUGGCGCGAUCUCGGCUCGGAAUCUCCACCUCCCGGGCUCAAGCGAUUCUCCCGUCUCAGCUUCCGGAGUAGCUGGGACUACAGGCGCGCGCCACCACGCCCGGUUAAUUUUUUUGUAUUUUAGUAGAGACAGGGUUUCACCAUGUUGGCCAGGAUGGUCUCGAUAUCCUGACCUCGUGAUCCGCCUUCCUCGGCCUCCCAAAGUGCUGGGAUUACAAGCGUGAGCCACGCGCCCGGCCUUUUUUUUUUUUUUUUUUUAAGAGACCGGCCCACUAUGUUGCCCAGGCAGAUCUCGAACUGCUGAGCUCAAGCGAUCCUCCCGCCUCCCCUCCCGAAGUGCUAGGAUUCCAGGUGUGGCCACCGCGCCCACCACUUCCUUGCCUCCUCUCCCAAGCUUGCCCUCCUGUCUCCUGCUUUCCCUUAGACAAACUCAUAUGAUCCUGGGCCCGCGCAGAUAAUCUGGCAUAAUCUCAAAAUCCUUAAUCCCAUCUCUGGGGCCACAAUUCAACCAACUACAAGCUUGAAUUUGGGGAAUGAGCCAUGGAGGUGUUGGGGAGAGCGUGUUCCUGGCAGUGCAAGAGCCAGGAGGCAGGAGACAGCCGUCUGCAGCAGCCCCACUCCCGCCCUCCAGGGGCUGUGCCUUCUCCUACAGAAGUACCAGGAGGAUCACGGCGCCCACAGCCUGGCAGCUGCUCCACCACACCUUCUCACUCGGUGCCGAGUGCAGCUGUUCCUGUCUGAGGAGGCUCAGUUUGGAAGCAGCCCCUCUUGGGACUCAGAAAUCAAGGUCUCCGCCUUCCCCUUCCUCGAGAACACCAACCUCUCAAUGAACUUUCACUUCUUACUGCGGUUAGCAGUUUUUAGCAAGUUAUUUUUAUCUAAUAAAAACAAUAUAUAGUUUUAAAAAUGCGAACUCUACAGGAGUUCGAGACCAGCCUGGCCAACAUGUGAAACCCCGUCUCUACUAAAAAUACAAAAAACUAGCUGGGCGCAUGCCCGUAGUCCCAGCUAUUCGGGAGGCUGAGGCAGAAGAAUUGCUUGAACCUGGGAGGCGGACGUUGCGGUGAGCCCAGAUUGCAGCACUGCACUCCAGUCUGGGCUACAGAGUGAGAUUUCAACUAAAAAAAAAAAAAAAAAAAAAAGUUGGGGCGUGGUGGCUCACGCCUGUAAUCCCAGCACUUUGGGAGGAUGAGGCAGGCAGGUGGAUCACGGGGUCAUAUUGAGACCAUCCUGGACAACAUGGUGAAACUCCGUCUCUACUAAAAAUACAAAAACUAGUUGGGCGUGGUGGCACUUGGCCUAUAAUCCCAGCUACUCGGGAGCCUGGAGAAUCGCUUGAACCCGGGAGGCAGAGAUUGCAGUGAGCCAAGAUUGCACCACUACACUCCAGCCUGGGUGACAGAGGGAGACUGUCUCCAAAAAAAAAAAAAAAAAAAAACAGCCAGGUGCGCUGGCUCAUGCCUGUAAUCCCAGCACUUUGGAAGGUCAAGGCAGGCAGACCACAACAUCAGAUUGAAACUAUCCUGGCUAAUACGGUGAAACCCCGUCUCUACUAAAAACAAAACAAAACAAAAACAAAAAUUAGCCGGGCUUGGUGGCUGUAGUCCCAGCUACUUGGGAGGCUGAGGCAGGAGAAUCUCUUGAACCUGGGAGGCAGAGGUUUCAGUGAGCCGAGAUCGCGCCACUGCACUCCGGCCUGAGCAACAGAGUUACUCAUUUCAAAUUAAAAAAUAAAUAAAUAAAUAAAAAGGGGGAGGCAAAGGAUUUAGAUGUUCCUCCAAAGACACACAAAUGGCCGCCAAGUACCUGUGAUGCUCCACGUCAUGACCCCUCGGGGAAAUGCAAAUCAAAACCACACGGCAAGGCCUUGGAGGCCCAGCUGCUCAGAGGCUGCAGUGAACGAACCGUGUUGCUUCUUGGAAGUUAACACACAGCUCCACGUGGCCCCGAAAGCCCCUCCUAGGUGUAUCCCCC
rnacentral:lncRNA from 1 species